GACGAACGCUGGCGGCGUGCUUAACACAUGCAAGUCGAACGGAAAGGCCCUGCUUUUGUGGGGUGCUCGAGUGGCGAACGGGUGAGUAACACGUGAGUAACCUGCCCUUGACUUUGGGAUAACUUCAGGAAACUGGGGCUAAUACCGGAUAGGAGCUCCUGCUGCAUGGUGGUGGUUGGAAAGUUUCGGCGGUUGGGGAUGGACUCGCGGCUUAUCAGCUUGUUGGUGGGGUAGUGGCUUACCAAGGCUUUGACGGGUAGCCGGCCUGAGAGGGUGACCGGCCACAUUGGGACUGAGAUACGGCCCAGACUCCUACGGGAGGCAGCAGUGGGGAAUAUUGCACAAUGGGCGGAAGCCUGAUGCAGCAACGCCGCGUGCGGGAUGACGGCCUUUGGGUUGUAAACCGCUUUCGCCUGUGACGAAGCGUGAGUGACGGUAAUGGGUAAAGAAGCACCGGCUAACUACGUG
rnacentral:rRNA from 1 species